GACGAACGCUGGCGGCGUGCUUAACACAUGCAAGUCGAACGGUAAGGCCCCAGCUUGCUGGGGUACACGAGUGGCGAACGGGUGAGUAACACGUGGGUGACCUGCCCUGCACUUCGGGAUAAGCCUGGGAAACUGGGUCUAAUACCGGAUAGGACCGCACCGUGCGGGGGUGGUGGAGAGUAUUUGGGUGGGGGAGGGACGGGCGGCCGAUCGGCUGGUUGGUGGGGUAAGGGCCAACCAAGGCGGGGUUGGGUAGCUGGCCGGAGAGGGUGGGCGGCCACAUGGGGCUGGAGACACGGCCAAGAUCCUUACGGGAGGAAGCAGUGGGGAAUAUUGCACAAGGGGCGGAAGCCUGAGGAAGCGACGCGGGGUGGGGGAGGACGGCUUUCGGGUGGUAACUGCUUUCACCAUCGACGAAGGUUUUCUGACGGUAGAUGGAGAAGAAGCACCGGCUAACUACGUG
rnacentral:rRNA from 1 species